GACGAACGCUGGCGGCGUGCCUAAUACAUGCAAGUAGAACGCACAGUUUAUACCGUAGCUUGCUACACCAUAGACUGUGAGUUGCGAACGGGUGAGUAACGCGUAGGUAACCUGCCUGGUAGCGGGGGAUAACUAUUGGAAACGAUAGCUAAUACCGCAUAAUAUUAAUUAUUGCAUGAUAAUUAAUUGAAAGGUGCAAUUGCACCACUACCAGAUGGACCUGCGUUGUAUUAGCUAGUAGGUGAGGUAACGGCUCACCUAGGCGACGAUACAUAGCCGACCUGAGAGGGUGAUAGGCCACACUGGGACUGAGACACGGCCCAGACUCCUACGGGAGGCAGCAGUAGGGAAUCUUCGGCAAUGGACGAGAGUCUGACCGAGCAACGCCGCGUGAGUGAAGAAGGUGUUCGGAUCGUAAAGCUCUGUUGUGAGAGAAGAACGGGUGUGAGAGUGGAAAGUGCACACUGUGACGGUAUCUUACCAGAAAGGGACGGCUAACUACGU
rnacentral:rRNA from 1 species